AACGAACGCUGGCGGCAUGCCUAACACAUGCAAGUCGAACGAGACCUUCGGGUCUAGUGGCGCACGGGUGCGUAACGCGUGGGAACCUGCCCUUAGGUUCGGAAUAACUCCCCGAAAGGGGUGCUAAUACCGGAUAAUGUCUUCGGACCAAAGAUUUAUCGCCUUUGGAUGGGCCCGCGUUGGAUUAGCUAGUUGGUAGGGUAAAAGCCUACCAAGGCGACGAUCCAUAGCUGGUCUGAGAGGAUGAUCAGCCACACUGGGACUGAGACACGGCCCAGACUCCUACGGGAGGCAGCAGUGGGGAAUAUUGGACAAUAGGCGAAAGCCUGAUCCAGCGAUGCCGCGUGAGUGAUGAAGGCCUUAGGGUUGUAGAGCUCUUUUACCCGGGAUGAUAAUGACAGUACCGGGAGAAUAAGCCCCGGCUAACUCCGUG
rnacentral:rRNA from 1 species